GCAUUGGCUUGGGGAACGUGGACAGCUGUUAGCGUGUGCGUUAUUCGAUGCCUUCUGAGCAGGCCUUGAAACUUCUCGGAUCGAAAUUGCGAUCCGUUGUCAGAUACAAUUCCCUCUGGAACUCCGAAACCUUGAGGAAAACAAAUUUCGAAUAAUGGUCCAGGACAAUAAAAAUUCCUAUAUUUCCACUGCGAGACCUAGGAUACGGACCUAAGAAAUCAAUAUAGAGACGCUGGAAGAACCUUUGCGACUCGGCCGCUUUUCCCAUCGGUGGACGUAACGGAGCGUUUGGAGCUUUUGACAUUUUACAUUGCUCGCAGGCUGCCACGUAGUCUUUUACGUCAUUGACGAGUCCGGGCCAGAAAUAAUAACGCCGAAUCCGCUCGAGUGUCUUGUGGACUCCACCAUGGGAAGCCAGCGGAUCAUCGUGUGCUCUCUUAAGCACUUCUUUGACCAUCCCCCUGGGUACCCACAACUUCCAAGCAAACGCGUCGUUAAGGAUGUCUCCUUUUACAUGCUCGGAUCGCCGAUAGAUCAGAGAAUCAACUAUUUUAAGGUCGGGGAGUUGAGCCAUAUUGCUCUUAAUUCCCUCCAUCAGUUCCAAAUAUUCUCCCGAUUUGAAAUGAGCUGACUCAAUGUCCACCAGCAAGCCAUUGCUGAAAUCCACUGCAGCCACUUGGUCAUAUGGGACCCUGGACAAGGCAUCCGGAACAACAUUCAGCUUCCCUCUUCUGUGUUGGAUACUGAACCGGAAACCUUGCAGUUUUAAAGUCCAUCUCGCUAACCUCGAAUUCAAAUCACUUUGAGACAUGAGCCAUUUCAGCGAGGCGUGAUCCGUAAUUACAGUGAACUCCUGACCCUCUA